rnacentral:rRNA from 1 species
AUUGAACGCUGGCGGCAGGCCUAACACAUGCAAGUCGAGCGGAUGAAGGGAGCUUGCUCCUGGAUUCAGCGGCGGACGGGUGAGUAAUGCCUAGGAAUCUGCCUGGUAGUGGGGGAUAACGUCCGGAAACGGGCGCUAAUACCGCAUACGUCCUGAGGGAGAAAGUGGGGGAUCUUCGGACCUCACGCUAUCAGAUGAGCCUAGGUCGGAUUAGCUAGUUGGUGGGGUAAAGACCUACCAAGGCGACGAUCCGUAACUGGUCUGAGAGGAUGAUCAGUCACACUGGAACUGAGACACGGUCCAGACUCCUACGGGAGGCAGCAGUGGGGAAUAUUGGACAAUGGGCGAAAGCCUGAUCCAGUCAUGCCGCGUGUGUGAAGAAGGUCUUCGGAUUGUAAAGCACUUUAAGUUGGGAGGAAGGGCAGUAAGUUAAUACCUUGCUGUUUUGACGUUACCAACAGAAUAAGCACCGGCUAACUUCGUG